rnacentral:rRNA from 1 species
AGAGUUUGAUCCUGGCUCAGAUUGAACGCUGGCGGUAUGCUUAACACAUGCAAGUCGAACGGAAACGAUACUAGCUUGCUAGUAGGCGUCGAGUGGCGGACGGGUGAGUAACGCGUAGGAAUCUGCCUGAUAGUGGGGGAUAGCCCGAAGAAAUUCGGAUUAAUACCGCAUAAUCUAUUCGUAGUAAAGUGGGGGACUUUCGAGCCUCACGCUAUCAGAUGAGCCUGCGUAAGAUUAGCUUGUUGGUAGGGUAAAAGCCUACCAAGGCGACGAUCUUUAGCUGGUCUGAGAGGAUGAUCAGCCACAUCGGGACUGAGACACGGCCCGAACUCCUACGGGAGGCAGCAGUGGGGAAUAUUGGACAAUGGGGGCAACCCUGAUCCAGCAAUACCGCGUGUGUGAAGAAGGCCUGAGGGUUGUAAAGCACUUUCAAUUGUGAAGAAAAGUUAGCGGUUAAUAACCGUUAGCCUUGACGUUAACUUUAGAAGAAGCACCGGCUAACUCCGUGCCAGCAGCCGCGGUAAUACGGAGGGUGCAAGCGUUAAUCGGAAUUACUGGGCGUAAAGCGCGCGUAGGCGGUUUAGCAAGUUGUAUGUGAAAGCCCUGGGCUCAACCUAGGAACUGCAUCCAAAACUACUAAACUAGAGUACGAGAGAGGAGAGUAGAAUUUCUGGUGUAGCGGUGAAAUGCGUAGAUAUCAGAAGGAACAUCAAUGGCGAAGGCAGCUUUCUGGACCAAUACUGACGCUGAGGUACGAAAGCGUGGGUAGCAAACAGGAUUAGAUACCCUGGUAGUCCACGCCGUAAACGAUGAUAACUAGCCGUUGGGGGGAUUUACCCUUUAGUGGCGAAGCUAACGCGUUAAGUUAUCCGCCUGGGGAGUACGGCCGCAAGGUUAAAACUCAAAGGAAUUGACGGGGACCCGCACAAGCGGUGGAGCAUGUGGUUUAAUUCGAUGCAACGCGAAGAACCUUACCUGGUCUUGACAUCCUGCGAACUUUCUAGAAAUAGAUUGGUGCCUUCGGGAACGCAGUGACAGGUGCUGCAUGGCUGUCGUCAGCU